rnacentral:lncRNA from 1 species
AUCUAACACCUGGGCUGGAUCGCCGUGAUACCUCCGAAGCAUGGAUACAUGAAAUACCGGUUGCACGGCUGAUAAGCUAGGCGGCAAUGCGAGUCUAUAAGCCACCUCUCCCACUCGAUCAAGAAUCUCAGAUGGACCAAUGAACCUAGGGCUAAGGUUGACCUUCUUCCCAAAUCUUAUCACGCCCUUCGUAGGCGACACUCGGAGCAAUACCCGCUCACCGACCAUAAAUGCCACAUCUUG